CGAAGGUAGCAUAAUCAGUAGUCUUUUAAUUGAAGGCUUGUAUGAAUGGUUGGACGAAAUAUUAACUGUUUCAUUUAAAAUUUUUAUAGAAUUUUAUUUUUUAGUCAAAAAGCUAAAAUAUUAUUAAAAGACGAGAAGACCCUAUAAAUCUUGAUAUUUAUAAUAAUUUUAAUUAUAAAGAUUAUUUAAAUUAUAAUUAUUAAAAAUAUUUUAUUGGGGUGAUAUUAAAAUUUAAAAAACUUUUAAUUUUGUUUUUACAUUAAUUUAUGAUUAUAUGAUCCAUUAAUAAUGAUUAAAAAUUUAAGUUACUUUAGGGAUAACAGCGUAAUUUUUUUGGAGAGUUCAUAUUGAUAAAAAAGAUUGCGACCUCGAUGUUGGAUUAA
rnacentral:rRNA from 1 species